ACUGAUCUAAAAUCCGCCAGGCCUUGGCACCUCACUCGACACCCGUCGUACAACAGCUUGCUCCAUGCUCAGAACUCUCCAAACGCCUCCGUCAGCUCCGCCGCGGGCGACACCGCGGCCAUCGUCAGCAACACUCUGUAGCUUUCGCCGUUGUCCGAUCCUGGCCCAGAUUGGUAUUCAGAGCGUUUUAAUCACUUACAUGUCCAAUCAAAUUGGAGAAUUGUUGAACUGCGUGAAUGACAACUGCAUAUGGAAAGUCCAUGCGACCAAGUCGCGAGGCUGAUUAUUUUAUGACAACAAAAUAUGAUAGCCGCCACUCUUGUUCAUCAGAUGCUAAAAAUGGCGGUUCAGUAGAUGCUAAAAAUGGCAGUCAACCACAAGCAAGCAGCUCUCUCAUUGGUGAGUUUGUAAAGUCAAAGUACAAGCGUGUUUUGUGCCAAUGCAAACCGAAAAAUACCAUUGAGGAUGUGCGGAAAGAUCUUGGAGUGGAUAUAAGUUAUUCGACAGCUAGGAGGGUCUUUGAAUGUGCAUUGAAAGAUAUUAGGGUAUGACCACAAGAACUUUCUUCUAAAUGGAGGUCAUGCGAAAGGUGCAAGAAGGAAAGAUUUUCAUCUCAACCAAAAAAAAAAAAAAAAGUCUCAUGGAGAAGAACAGUCUACACGGAAUUGUGGAAAAUGUGGCUCAACUGGUCAUUACCGUAAAACCUGCAACAACGCUAUUACUCUUCAUCUCAAUUUCGAAAGAGUAAUGAAUGGCGUGAAACAAGGGGCUUUAUGGCUUCAGCAACAGGUGAAGCAAAGGGUUGUACAGUGGACAAAAGUACCUUAUCGAAAAUUUGGUGCGACUAUUACUGGUGAUCCUGCUGGUUUUAAUUGGACAUGUCAGUGAUAUACAUCUAUGGGGGACACUUGAAAUGUUCACUUUAGUGUCUGCAUAUGGCCUGUUCUUUGAUGGGGACCAACGGCCUGGCUCUUGCUGGAGCUUCUGUGGGAAAAUUGCUGUAUGCCAACUACGGCAUUGGCCCAUUGAUCUAUAUUUCAUAUUUUGAGAGAUUGAAGCAGAGCUCAAACCAUUUGGGAGACAUCAGAGUGGCAAACCAGUUUGUUACUCCUUUUAUUUGGAUUAUAAGUCUUGUAUGCUUGUAGUGUGAUAGUCUUGAAGGGAGUAGCCUUUUUAUCUGCACAUGUCGGUAUCUGUCAGAGGUUGGCUGGACGCCACUUCCGCUGUUCUCAAAAACCAAUUGGAAGAACAGGUCUGUCUGGCAUGAGAGCCUCCUGACAUGGGAUGUCAGAAUAUGAAUGUUGAUGCGCCGAGGAGAAUGGCAUCUGGUGGAUUUGGAGCAGUGAAAGUUAUUUAAUCCAAUCUUGGCAGGGCAUAUUGACGCAGAAAUCUGGAGAUACAUUUUGGCUUGCAGUUUCCAAUUUAGAAGAAAAGCACUAAAAGAUGUAUUCAGGUGGACUUCGCUAUUAUUUUCAAAUUGAUGAAGCAAGGUAAUGCUUCCGCUGUCACCCCCUUUGAAGUGCAGAUUUUUUUAUGCAGCAAUUUGAACACUACAUGUUUAUAGAGAGAAGAAUGCAGUGGCAUAUGAGAUAGCAAAUGGAGCUAUAACACUCAUUUGGGAGUCUAAAUUCGACCACGUAAGCAUUCUUAUUGCUGUUUUUCCCCUGUACAGAAUCGUGUUUAGACCUUCAUUGCAUUAUUUUUAUGGAAUCAUUGCAGGAAUCUUACUGCUGCAUUUCUUUUUCUUUCUUUGUCGAUUGGAGGUUGUUCUGUUUAUGCGUAGAUUGCAGAUCAUGAUCAAGGAUGUUAAUGAGCAGUUGCAGUCUUCUGUCAAGACAAGCUAUAGCUUCUCUUUGGAAAUUUAUCAUAUGCGGUGGAGUAUGGCGAGAAUUGGGUGGGAGGAAAUUUUGCUCUCUCUCUCUCUCUCUCUCUCUCUCUCUCUCAUAACGACAUGUCAGGUGAUGAGAGACACAGAAAACGUGAGUGUUUGAACCCACGAUAGCCAAGUUUUCUCACGAAUGAGAGGCACCGGUUGCUUAGAUAGUUACUCGGUUCUUUUUUUAACAUAACCAGAUUAUUAACAAUGUGGUUCGGUUUGGUGACGGUU